rnacentral:rRNA from 1 species
GACGGAGGAUGCAAGUGUUAUCCGGAAUCACUGGGCGUAAAGCGUCUGUAGGUGGUUACAUAAGUCAACUGUUAAAUCUUGAGGCUCAACUCAAAAUCGCAGUCGAAACUAUUAGCUAGAGUAUAGUAGGGGUAAAGGGAAUUUCCAGUGGAGCGGUGAAAUGCGUAGAGAUUGGAAAGAACACCAAUGGCGAAAGGCACUUUACUGGGCUAUUACUGACACUGAGAGACGGAAAAGCUAGGGUAGCAAAUGGG